rnacentral:rRNA from 1 species
UACGUAGGGUGCAGGCGUUAAUCGGAAUUACUGGGCGUAAAGCGUGCGCAGGCGGUUUUGCAAGACAGAUGUGAAAUCCCCGGGCUUAACCUGGGAACUGCAUUUGUGACUGCAAGGCUAAAGUGUGUCAGAGGGAGGUGGAAUUCCGCGUGUAGCAGUGAAAUGCGUAGAGAUGCGGAGGAACACCGAUGGCGAAGGCAGCCUCCUGGGAUAACACUGACGCUCAUGCACGAAAGCGUGGGGAGCAAACAGG